rnacentral:rRNA from 1 species
AACGAACGCUGGCGGCAUGCCUAACACAUGCAAGUCAAACGAGACCUUCGGGUCUAGUGGCGCACGGGUGCGUAACGCGUGGGAACCUGCCCUUAGGUUCGGAAUAACUCCCCGAAAGGGGUGCUAAUACCGGAUAAUGUCUUCGGACCAAAGAUUUAUCGCCUUUGGAUGGGCCCGCGUUGGAUUAGCUAGUUGGUAGGGUAAAAGCCUACCAAGGCGACGAUCCAUAGCUGGUCUGAGAGGAUGAUCAGCCACACUGGGACUGAGACACGGCCCAGACUCCUACGGGAGGCAGCAGUGGGGAAUAUUGGACAAUGGGCGAAAGCAUGAUCCAGCAAUGCCGCGUGAGUGAUGAAGGCCUUAGGGUUGUAAAGCUCUUUUACCCGGGAUGAUAAUGACAGUACCGGGAGAAUAAGCUCCGGCUAACUCCGUG